UUGAGUUAUGAGUCAAUUCCCGAUAGGAUUCACGAUUGCUGUGAAGCUGCCUUGUAACCGACUGGCGCGAGAUUAUCGGUCAACUCGUCGUCAACACUAUCUAGGGGGAAUAUCCAUUG
rnacentral:sRNA from 2 species